GAAAACACUCUGGAUACUGUUGCACCCUACGCUACAAAAUGAAAGGAGGCCUGGAAGCUUAAGGUCCUACAAGAAGCAUCCACUUCUUCUGCAGAAAAUACCGUAAAAAGUGUAUGAUUUGGUAAAAUUCUCCCUAGGUCUUCGCAUCCUCAGUACUCCACAUGGGGAGGAGUGGUGGUAGGGUCGCUUCAAUCACUUGCCC